rnacentral:rRNA from 1 species
UACGUAGGGGGCGAGCGUUGUCCGGAGUUACUGGGCGUAAAGCGCACGCAGGCGGUCUGUUAAGUUUGGAGUGGCAGUUGGUGGCUUAACUGCCAAAGUGCUUCGAAAACUGACAGACUUGAGGGCUUCAUAGGGACACGGAAUUCCGGGUGGAGUGGUGAAAUGCGUAGAGAUCCGGAGGAACACCAAAGGCGAAGGCAGUGUCCUGGGGAGUACCUGACGCUCAGGUGCGAAAGCCAGGGGAGCGAACGGG